rnacentral:lncRNA from 1 species
AGGGGGAACCGGAUGGUGAGGGACAGAGUUCGCCGAGCCGGCACUCCGAAAAAAUUUUCAGGAGACGCCAGACCCGGGCCUUCCUGCUUAGCACGCCAAAGCAUUAUCACGCGCUCUCUCUCACUGUAUUAUUUCAAUAUCUACUACAUAAUACAACGAGAGAGGCAUCUAUAUAUGUAGUAUGUAAUGCAUUUUGAACACAAAGUUUCAUUCUACGUUUAUAUCAAAAAUAAUCAUGGAUGAGGGGACCUAUAAUGGAGAUCGCAUAUGAACAACAUAUGUCAAUUCCUGAAAAUCUUAGAAGAAAAUGCAACUGGUUUACUUUUUGAUAUCUAUAAAAAAAAAUAUUCGAAAGUUUGUAUACUUCCCCAGAAAUUUUUGCAAUGGUUCAAGUUUUUUUUUUUUUAUAUGAAAUGGAUUAUUCUAACCUACGUUAUCGGUCCGAAACGUUAUUCUUUAUUGAUAAAUGGAUACGCAAUUAAUGAUAGCAUGCAUCCUAUAUAACGGAUAUCAUAUGACAAGAAACGUGCACCUUUAAAAUUUCUUACACCACAAUGUGGGGACUACUAACCUACAUCAUCUUUCAAGAAAUAUUCAAAAACUGAUGAGACAUUUUUUUUUAACUGUAUGAAAUUUCAAAAAUUUGUUGUAUUAAUAACAUGUGCAAUUUCAUCUUUUAGUAUAAGGUAAUUAGUACUUACUAGUGGUAUCAAAAAGGAAUAUAGAUUCACCAGACCAAAAUGUUCUUAAUCGAGUCAUAAUUUAAAAUUCUUAAGCUUUAGAUGGAUAAAUAGCAACUACAAAUGAUCACCAUGGUGAGAAGCCCUUCUAUAUUCUUUCAACUAGUUAUAUCUUUUCAGUAAUAUUCCGAAUAGCAUUUGUUUAUGGUUCCAAAAGAAUCAAUCGAAAGUGAAUAUUUGGUUUAAUUCUGAUUAGUUCCCUUUAAGCCAUAAAUAUGAAUUUAAAAUCAAUAUGGACAGUCCAAUAAGAUUUAAAAUCGUGCACUUUUUUAUUUUUAGAUGCUCCAAGAAAUUUGGGGAAAGAUGUAAAAAAGACAUCGAAUGCUGCGACGAUUGGAU